rnacentral:lncRNA from 1 species
CUUAGGACUACUCUGUGGGUCAGGAAUUCAGGAAGGCUUCAUUGGGUGAUUUGUCUUUGACCUAUGUGGUAAUAACUGGGAUGGCUGGGGCCAGAGGAUCCGCUUAGAAGAUAGCUUCUUCACUCAUACCCAUAGCCCCUCAGUGUUCUGUGGCCUCUCUCUCUUUACCUGGCAUCCUUAGGUUGCCUGCAGGUGGCUUGAGUUUCUCUCAGUGUGGUGGUUUCAGGGCAGUCAAUUUGCUUACAUGGAAGCUGACUUUCUCAGUGGGACCAUUUCAAGAGUGAUUGUUCUAAGAGAUCAAGGCAGAAGUUUCAAGGCUUUAUAUGAACUGGCUUCAGAAAUCACAUAGUAUCAUUUCUGGUACACUCUGUUGGUUACACAGGGUCAACUCAAAUUCACUAUGGGAAGGGAUGACAAAAGGAAGAGAGUACAGGGAGGCAUGGUUCAUUGGAAGUUAUUUUGGAGAUCAGCUAUCAUAGCAAUUGAUUGCCCACGAUUUUCUGUUUUUUGUUUUUUUUCCUUAAAUCUCCUGACCUACUGAAAUUUGCCAGGUUAAAAUCUCAGAGCUUACUGACCCUGGGAAAUGCUAUCCAAAGAGAUCAUGUAGAGCUGGUAUCAGAGGAUUUUUCAAGGUUAUUUUAGGAGCUGGUGCAUCCUGACAUUCAAAGAAUACACACAUUUCUUUUCACUAAGUUCUCAUAUAAAUGCCAUGACAGGCAGUGAGAUAGACUUAGAGUAUUCCUGGCCUCAGGAGGUGGGACUUCCAUGAGGAACUGCUAUCUUAACCUCUAUCCUGUUCACUGCCUCUCCACAAAGGAGAAAGGGUCUAAGAUUUUAAAUAUGUGCCAGGCACACACUUAGCACAUACAUACAUGUUAGUGGUGAAUCCUCCCAAAGACCGGUGAGAUAGACUGUAUUAUACUCAUUUCAUAAUUGAAGAACCUCUGGUUCUGCUAAGCCACUAGCCUGAUGUCACACAGCAGGUAAGUGGCAACCCUGAGCUUUAAACCUAAAUCUUCUGGUUUUAAAGCACAUUGUUCUUCUACAGCACAAGAAACUGAACUGAUGUAGCAUUAUUCUGUACUUUAUUAAGGUUCAAAUUUCACUGAGCAUAUAACUGUAUACUAACUACUGUCGAAAUAUAUUUUGAAUUAGAAAUGUACAUACCUGUAAGUCUCAAAAAAAUUCUAUCAGCUUUGGCCUGGGCUCUCCAGAGUGCUCUUGGAGAUGUGCAACACUUUCCAAUUAGCAUUCUCUUUGGCCUGAUGGAUGAGGAGAAUGGGGAUGGUCAGCUAUCUCUUUUAUCCAAAUAUGAGGUCCCCAGUGUUAGAGGUCUCACUCUGGCUUUCAGUGGGGCAAAUGUUCAUGAGCACACUACCGUUGAGCAUGGCUUGCUUAGUGAGCCCAUAGGAAAUCAGGAAAUUCACAAUGAUAAAGAAUGAUGGAAUAACUGAGAUGCAUGGUAUUUUUCUUAGACCUCUUAAGAGACUGGCAACAAAUUGGGGCUUGAUGGAAAUUAAUUUACAUGAGUCAAGAAAAACCAGAGGACAGGUAGUAGGAUUGAUAAUGUCAAAGUAGGAGGAGAAGAGGAAGAAUCAUAUAUUAAAGGAGAGGUGAGAAAUGGCCAUACAUUGCAAUUGGCUCAAGGCAGAGAAAAGUUAAUUCUACACUUUAUAAUAGCACUACCAAUUAUUCACUGUCGGUACUAAGAAAUAUUUGUCAGCUCUCAACUUGUAAGUGGAGAUAAAUCUUACAUGUUCAGUUGUGUCAGGUUAUCAUCUGGUCUACACUAAUUGAAUUUGUAAUAGACCAGCCUGAGUCCUGACUCUCCACAAAGCUUCUCCUGACUACUCCCUCACGUGCUGAUUCAUGAACUUACGUCGUUACCCUACGGAGCUUUAUCUGAUUAAUUCACUAGAUUAUGAGUCUUGAGGCAACAGUUCUUUCACUAUACUUUUCCACCUCCCUACCCUUGCUCAACAUGUACACAUACACACUCACAUGCUCAUACACACACACUCACACACACAUUCACACUCACACAAUAUACUCACACACUCACACACCACACACUCACAGGCACAUACCCUUUUCUUCCAGCACAGGCCUAAAUCCUUAGGAAGCACAUAAUAAACACUGGAUGAAAGAACUGGGUUCCACACACUCAAAAACAUUUAAUGCAGAACAAUGCAUAGCCGUUAACUAAUUCAUCGAUGAUGCCAGUCUAAUUUCAGGUGUUAUUGCUAGGCCUGUUAAGCUUGGCCAGUUAGCUAUCAGCUCUGUUGAUGUUUGUAGCUUCUCUUAGAUGAACAUUUCCCAGAGUGAUUGCUCCGGAAUGUUACUUUGGAAUGUUCACACAUUAUAUGCAGUGUUGGGAGAUCUACAGUUCAUACUAGUAUAUUAAAUGCCCUGAGAAGACCUGCAGGAAAGGAAGCCAUUGUCUGAGUGAACAUUUUCCAAAUUAAUUUAUUUGACCAUAGGUUAUCUCUUAAGACAGCAGCACCUAUUUAUUUUCCAGGAAAGUAGUGUUUCCUGAAAUACAUUUCAGGAAAUCAUGGCCCACAAACCCCUGCUUUGAUUCUUUAUCUUCCUUGUUCUUGUGCUUGGUACUAUCUACCUCCCUGUGCCUCAGGCCCAGGGCUUACCUUCUUGCUUCUGAGUGGAUAGAAGCUCUGAGAACCUACAGAAAGAUGCCCCUUUAGGCUAACUUAGCAUUGUUUCAGGCUAGGAGGGGCCCCAGAAAUACCAUGUCCAAUCUUUCAUUUCAGAAACGAGGACAUAGAUGCAGAUGAGGAGAAGUCCAUUGAACACACUCAAGUUAGAACUGCAACUAAAACCCAGGCCUCUAAGUUCCAAAGAAAGAACAUUUCUCCCCUUCUAUUUUUCCUCCAUUCAUAGCGAAGCAGUUUCCUAGAGAGCCAGCAUUUGGGCCCUGCUGGCUUCAUUGAAAGUAGGCAGGCUCAAAAGCUGGAUAUAAUUAGUGAUUUUGAGGAGUUCAAUGCAUGUCCUGGAAAUGGAGAAGAUUGGCAACUGGAGCCCAUACUUUGGCAGAGGCUGAAUGCUGCUUCUAAAACUCCUGGAACAAUAUAGUGCAUUAGCUGGUCCGCCUCCACCUUGAAAUAAAGGCUUCUGGCUCCCAUGGGCUGGGCAAGGCAGAAAGGGAACAACUUGAUUUUCAAAUAAAGACCUUCUUUGAAAAAUUUCCCAGGGGACAUGAUUUGUGGGAUCAUAGCCCAGUGCACUUCUUCCACCAGACACCCUGGUUUUGGAAUAAGGGCACUGAGGCCUAGAGAGGCUUAUAUUAUUGAGGGUUAGGAAUACAUUUUGAGGUGCUUGAGGGAUAGGUAGGGGCAGCAGUACAUGGGCAAGAGAAUAUUUCUGAGGGACUUUUGACUGUCAUAGGAAAUGUUGCUGUCAUAGUUCUUCAGAUUCCCCCAUGUUGCAUUCGCUCACAUUUAAAAUAUUUUCCUUUUAAUCAUCUCACAUAGAGAAUGGACCAUUUUGAAUCCGUUUUAUGUUUUCUCCUUAUAAGAAAUAGGCCCCUUGUAACCAAGGCAACUAUGAAUGGACCCAAACCUUCAAGGGUGAUUUUUCUCAUGCAACAAGAAAACAGACCUAUUAUUUUUUCUGGAAGAUUUCAGCCUCCCAUCGGGCAGUUUAAGUUCACUUCCAUGUGGCAGGUAGAGAUCCUUUCUGCUCUUUUGUCUGAAGUUUGGUCAACCAGAAAUUUGUGUUUGCCCAGUAAGUCCCCCUCUCUCUGCCUCCCAUUUCUUGUUCCAACUGUGUACUGUUCAAGGGAACACUUGACACCAGAAAUGGCCUUUCCUUUACUUUCGACAAGAGCCAGAGUUUUUCAUAGUAUGAAACCAUAGUUUCAAGAUCUCACCUUUCAGAAGUGAUGAAGACUGAAUUGCCUAGAGAUGCUUUAGUGACAUUUUGCUAGGGGGUAAGGACUGCCAUCUCUCUACCAAAGAAAUCUUUCCUGGAUCGAUUUCCAGAACCACAGGCAUUGAUCCCAGCAGCCACAGUAUGGCUCUGUGCAGGAGAAGAAAGGGCCAAGACUCAAGGGACCCAGACUUCUGGAAGUGUCAUUGAGCAUUUGCCUAGCCUACCAUAUCUUUGAAUACCAUAUCUUUUUGUUGAAACAUAAUAAAUCCCCAUUUUCUGAAGCCACAUGGAGGCCUUAUUAUUGCUUCUAAUCUUUGGAGUAUUUAGGACAGAGAAUAAGCACAGCUUGGAGUGGGGAAUCAAUAAAUCAAACACUAUAUCAGUGGUUUUCAAUUCUACUUACACAUUAAAAUCACCUUGGGAACUUUUAGCAGAUACUGAUGCCCAGAUCAAUUGAAAACAAAUCUCUGGAGAUAGGGUGUGAUAAUUUGUACGUUUUCAAAUCAUCCAAGAUGAUUCUAAAGUGAAGUAAGCUAUGUUGAGAAUCAUUGCACUAGAAUCAAGAUUUAAUUUUUGAUCAUUUAGAAAAUGGCAGAGAAGUAAGAAUUAAAC